UAACUUCUUGGGCUAUCACAUAAACAGU
rnacentral:piRNA from 1 species